rnacentral:rRNA from 1 species
UACCAGCACCCCGAGUGGUCGGGACGUUUAUUGGGCCUAAAGCAUCCGUAGCCGGUUCUACAAGUCUUCCGUUAAAUCCACCUGCUUAACAGAUGGGCUGCGGAAGAUACUAUAGAGCUAGGAGGCGGGAGAGGCAAGCGGUACUCGAUGGGUAGGGGUAAAAUCCGUUGAUCCAUUGAAGACCACCAGUGGCGAAGGCGGCCUGCCAGAACGCGCUCGACGGUGAGGGAUGAAAGCUGGGGGAGCAAACCGG